UUGCUUCAGCAGCAUGUAUACUGACAUUGGAAAGACAGAGAGAAGAUUAGCAUGCCCCUGUACAAGGAUGGUGCACAGAUCUGUGAAGUGUACAAUAAAAGA